AUUGAUAACUAUGUUAAAUUUAGUUAAUUAAAUUAUGAUGUUUAUCAUGUUAUAAAUUUGUCACAAAAAAUAUUAUUUCUAUGAGAAAAAAUAUGACUCAAGUUUUGAAAGUUGUUUAUGCUAUGGUCCUAUUAUUUUCUAUAUUUCUUGUUGUAACCUUUGCAUCUCGAAGUUGUGAUGAAAACGAUGAUUGUCCAGAUUAUUUGUGUGAGUCUUCUAAAGUUGGAAAAUGUUUUUUUGAUAAUUGUUAUUGCAUUUAACAGGGUAAGAAGAACAACACAGGAUAAAUCAAUAGUCACAUGACAACUAUUUAUAGUGUAAAAUUGUUUACAAUGCAUUUAUAAAAUAAAAUUAUAUAAUGUAUGUAAUAAGGUGUUUGUUUAAUUGUGAGAAUUUAGUUUAAUAUUUUUAAUAUUUUUAAAAAAUAAAAUUCAAAUUUCAUUAAUACGGUUAUAAAACGAUCAUUAAUAU